GGCCUCCUGUUUGUUUAGGAGGUCUGACCUGCCCAGUGAUUUUAUUUAACGGCCGCGGUAUUCUGACCGUGCAAAGGUAGCAUAAUCAUUAGUCUUUUAAUAGGGGGCUGGAAUGAAAGGUUUGAUGAAGUAUAGGCUGUCUCAAUAAUAUAUUUAAAAUUUAACUUUCAAGUUAAAAGGCUUGAAUUUUGUAGAUAGACGAGAAGACCCUAUAGAGCUUUAUAAUUUAUUGGUUGGAGUUUUUUAGAUUGACAUGUUUACUUCAUUUUUUAAUUUAUUUUGUUGGGGUGAUGAAAAUAUAAGAUUAACUUUUUUAUUUAUUGUACAUUGAUAUAUGAUUUUUAGAUCCAUUAUUAGUGAUUAUUAGAUGAAGUUACCUUAGGGAUAACAGCGUAAUCUUCUUUUGGAGUUCAAAUUUGCAAGAAGGCUUGCGACCUCGAUGUUGGAUUAAGAUUAUAAUUGGGUGUAGUAGCUUGAUUAAUAGGUCUGUUCGACCUUUAAAUUCUUACAUGAUCUGAGUUCAGACCGG
rnacentral:rRNA from 1 species